rnacentral:rRNA from 1 species
ACGGAAUAGAUACCCCGGUAGUCCACGCCGUAAACGAUGGAUACUAGCUGUUGGAGGUAUCGACCCCUCCAGUAGCGAAAGCUAAACGCGUUAAGUAUCCCGCCUGUGGAGUACGGUCGCAAGACUAAAACAUAAAGGAAUUGACGGGGACCCGCACAAGCGGUGGAUCGUGUUCUUUAAUUCGAGGCUAAACGAAGAACCUUACCAGGACUUGACAUCCUUGGAAUUACUGCGAAAGCAGUGAGUGCUUUAUUGAACCAAGUGACAGGUGUUGCAUGGCCGUCGUCAGCUCGUGUCGUGAGAUGUUUGGUUAAGUCCAUCAACGAGCGCAACCCUUGCAACUAGUUGUAUUUUUCUAGUUGGACUGCCCCGGUAACGGGGAGGAAGGGGGGAUGAUGUCAGGUCAGUAUUACCCUUACGUCCUGGGCUAGAAACACGAUACAAUGGCUAGUACAAUGCGCAGCGAAGCCGCGAGGUGAAGCAAAUCGCAUCAAAGCUAGUCCCAGUUCGGAUUGGAGGCUGAAACUCGCCUCCAUGAAGUCGG